GACGUAGGGCGCGAGCGUUGUCCGGAUUUAUUGGGCGUAAAGAGCUCGUAGGCGGCUUGUCGCGUCGUCCGUGAAAACCUGCGGCUCAACUGCAGGCUGGCGGUCGAUACGGGCAGGCUGGAGUUCGGUAGGGGAGACUGAAAUUCCUGGUGUAGCGGUGAAAUGCGCAGAUAUCAGGAGGAACACCGGUGGCGAAGACGGGUCUCUGGGCCGAUACUGACGCUGAGGAGCGAAAGCGUGGGGAGCGAACAGG
rnacentral:rRNA from 1 species